AUCCACCAUAUAACCCAAUUCCAA
rnacentral:snRNA from 1 species